GAUCUGGGCAACUGCAGACCGAAAGCUUCCCAGGACCACGGACCUGUCAUGAAGAACAGCUGUUCUUUCAGCUUGAUCCCACGGGAAGAAUGAACAGGCUUAUCUACAGUGGUAAGAAGAACAUGAACAAGAAAAACCCUUUGUUGUUUAAGUUAUGGAAAUUUAGGGAGUGUUUAUUAUUCCAGCAUAACAUAGCCCAUUCUAACUCACAUCCUUUACCCAUCCAGAGCCUGGCCUGGAGAAGACACUCUACAAAUGCUUGCCAGUGAGUAAAUACAUGAAUCUGCCAAUAGAUCUUCCCUUUCUUCUCUGGAGUAUUAUCUUAUUAUCUGGUCCUGGAGAAUCACCUCCAAGCUUCUGAAGGACUUUAAGGAUCUCUUUCUCUGUGGUGUGAGCAAGAUCCAGGCCUGAGCUGAGAAGCUUGAAUUCUGUAUUGUACUCAUAACCUACUGAAAUACACUGAUCCAGAUUGCCUGAGUGGCUCAGUCA